GGAUUAGGCAUGCAAGUCGAACGAGGAUAUAUCCUUCGGGGUAUAAGCCGAGUGGCGCAAGGGUGAGUAAUGCAUAGAUUACCUGCCUCUAGGAUAAGGACAACUUUGUGAAAACGAAGCUAAUACUUAAUAAUACAAAAGAAAAUAAUUUUCUUUUGUCAAUGGGAGGGUAGCAAUACCUUUUGCCUAGAGAGGGGUUUAUGUCCUAUCAGCUUGUCGGUGGGGUAAUGGCCUACCAAGGCGAAGACGGGUAGCCGGUCUUAGAGGAUGGUCGGCCACACUGGGACUGAGACACUGCCCAGACUUCUACGGAAGGCUGCAGUCGAGAAUCUUUCGCAAUGCCCGAAAGG
rnacentral:rRNA from 1 species